rnacentral:rRNA from 1 species
AAUCUGGAGGCUUUAGCGGUACCAACGGCGAGUGAAGCGGCAAAAGCUCAAAUUUGAAAUCUGGCACCUUCGGUGUCCGAGUUGUAAUUUGAAGAAGGUAACUUUGGAGUUGGCUCUUGUCUAUGUUCCUUGGAACAGGACGUCACAGAGGGUGAGAAUCCCGUGCGAUGAGAUGCCCAAUUCUAUGUAAAGUGCUUUCGAAGAGUCGAGUUGUUUGGGAAUGCAGCUCUAAGUGGGUGGUAAAUUCCAUCUAAAGCUAAAUAUUGGCGAGAGACCGAUAGCGAACAAGUACAGUGAUGGAAAGAUGAAAAGAACUUUGAAAAGAGAGUGAAAAAGUACGUGAAAUUGUUGAAAGGGAAGGGCUUGAGAUCAGACUUGGUAUUUUGCGAUCCUUUCCUUCUUGGUUGGGUUCCUCGCAGCUUACUGGGCCAGCAUCGGUUUGGAUGGUAGGAUAAUGACUAAGGAAUGUGGCUCUACUUCGGUGGAGUGUUAUAGCCUUGGUUGAUACUGCCUGUCUAGACCGAGGACUGCGUCUUUUGACUAGGAUGUUGGCAUAAUGAUCUUUAGCCACCCGCCCUGAAACAACAAACCAAAUUUUUUUUUCUCUUUUCUUUGUAUUUUCCUAGUUUGUUUUUUA